UACGAAGGGGGCUAGCGUUGUUCGGAAUUACUGGGCGUAAAGGGUUCGUAGGUGGCUUGCUAAGUCAGACGUGAAAUCCCUCAGCUUAACUGGGGAACUGCGUCUGAUACUGGCGAGCUUGAGUGCAGGAGAGGAACGCAGAAUUCCAGGUGUAGCGGUGAAAUGCGUAGAUAUCUGGAGGAAUACCGGUGGCGAAGGCGGCGUUCUGGACUGCAACUGACACUGAUGAACGAAAGCCAGGGGAGCAAACGGG
rnacentral:rRNA from 1 species